rnacentral:rRNA from 1 species
CAGUAGCCGCGGGAAUACGUAGGUGGCAAGCGUUGUCCGGAAUUAUUGGGCGUAAAGGGCUCGCAGGCGGUUUCUUAAGUCUGAUGUGAAAGCCCCCGGCUCAACCGGGGAGGGUCAUUGGAAACUGGGAAACUUGAGUGCAGAAGGGGAGAGUGGAAUUCCACGUGUAGCGGUGAAAUGCGUAGAGAUGUGGAGGAACACCAGUGGCGAAGGCGACUCUCUGGUCUGUAACUGACGCUGAGGAGCGAAAGCGUGGGGAGCGAACAGGAUUAGAUACCCCCGUAGUCCCUGUCUCUUAUAC